rnacentral:lncRNA from 1 species
GGAAAAUGUGCCGUUCUUGGUAACUCAGAAAGUUUCUCAGUCUGCUUUCUGCCUGUAGAAAGUUGCAGGCUGUGAUGGUUAAUUUAUAUAUCAACUUGGCUAGUUCACGGUACCCAGCGGUUUGGUCAAACAUUAUUCUAGAUGUUUUUGUGAAGAAAUUCUUUAGAUGAAAUUAACAUUUAAAUCAGUGGACUUUGAGUAAAGCAGAUUGCCUUUCAUGACGUGGUUGGCCUCAUUCAGUCUGUUGAAGGCCAUAACAGAAAAAAGAUUGAUCUCCUCCAGAGAGAUCAGCAGACGGCCUUCAGACUCAAGCUGCAACACGGACACUUCCCUGGGUCUCCAGCCUGCCUGCUGGCCCUGUAGAUUUUGGACUUACUAGCUUCAACAAUCAUAGUUUGAACAAGGCUGAUUUGUCCAGGAGGGAAUUAAAGGAUGUGAUCAACAAAUUAGCACACGCCGAACUAAAAACCGGUGGAUUUUGCUUCUUCUGACUUCGGAAGUGACUUACUGCUCUGUCGGCUAAUCUCCCCAGCAAGGCUGUUUGCUUUGCAGCUAAGCUCAAUCAGCAUAUCAAUGGGAGUCCAAUCAGGAAAACAGAAACGUCUUGAAAUUGAUCUGUGAUUGCCUUGGCAGGUACAAAAUGGUCAAAUACUGGUGACCUAAUAUGGCUCACCUCAUAUUUCCACCUGUUUCCUGCCAUUGCCUUCCCAAGGCCAAACCCUGCUGGAAUGCAGCUGACAGGGGAGCCCAGCCUGCAGUGCUGAGCAGGGGAAGGAAGGAAAUGCUCUCGGAUCAGGGGGCUGAGGCUCCACGCAGAGGCCGGAAACUUAGAAGAAAUGUCUGGGGCAUCACAGCCAGAUGAAGACUGGGUAGGCUUCCACGAAAAGCGCUUCUCCGAAAGACCCUGGAAAAAGUGCCUCUGCAGGUGGAUUCCUUCCCUAAUUCCCCGCCAGCUGCUCUAAAGUCACUCCUCUAACUCCUGGUGGCUGCAGAUUUGGCCACCCCCGAGACAUGAAGUCAUUGGCAAGCUUGAAAUAUGGACACCUUAUCAUGAUUAAUCCUCUUCCACAUCUAUAAUUCAUAACGUUGAAGAGGAAGCGGAGGAAGAAAGAACUUUUGGAAAGGGUAAUGCUUUUAUGCAGCAAGCUUUGUUGAGUUUAUUUAAAGAUUAUGCAUAUUUUGUUUGCUUUUUAUGCCGUUAAAAUGUUCAGGGAGGGAAGAAAGUUGGAACAGCUUGAGAAAUAUCCGGCAGAAUUCCAUGGUACAAUGGAGAAACCAUCCAGAAAUCGAGAGCGGUCCUGCUAGAAUCAUCUGGGAGCAAGCUGGGAGGAGUCCUCAGGAGCUGCAGAAAGGACAGCUAAUGAAGAACACUGGGCUGGACACUGGGCAGAGUGGGUGACAAGCUCCUCAAAGCAUUCCUGACUAAGACAAUGUGCAAAAUAAGAAAUACAAAUGGCCAAUAGGAUAUGAAAAAAAUUCAGCUUCAAUGAUAAACAAAGGAAUGGAAUUUGGCAAAGAUGUUGAAAUGAUGAUCACACUGCGUGCUGGUAGGAUGUUGUGAGAUAAGUAUUCUCAUUUCCUGCUGGUGACAUUAUAAACUGGUACGGGGUUUCUCCAAAGAUGUGGAUGAAGCUAUGAAGAGCCUUCAAAAUAUUACUACCCUUUGACCAAGUAAUUUCACUCUUGGGAAUUAUCCAAAGGAAAUAGCAACAAGGACACAGACUUACAUGCAUUGUGAUCCAAACUCCGUAAGAAAGAAAAAAAAAGGUAUCUUCAUAGAUAUGUAGACUGCAGGAAAUAAGACAAAAACGUUUGGAAUUGUUAUCUCUUGUUUUGAGUGAUAUUUUGUUUUUUCUUUUUCAAAUUUUUUAGAAAGAACAUGUUUAUUUGGAAAUUAGGAAAACACAACAAAAGUCACUUAAAAGACUAAUACCACCGAAUGCUCACAUCUCUGUCCUUAGAAUUUUUCUACUUUUGUGGAAAUAACAGCCAAGUAUCUUCAGAGUCUUUGGUUACAGGUCUUUCUUUUCAUUUACUUUUAAAUUUCUCACUGAGAGACAGAAUUUACCAGAGUCAUCCUGUGAAACGCUGGGGGUGACUGCACACAUUCAUAUGCUAUUCGAACUGGAUGAUGGUCCUGGGAGGAAGCAGGUCCCGGAGCCCCUGGCCGGCUGAUAGCUGUGUUCUGCAGGCAGUGGCAUCUCACCGUAGAAGCAGCGAGACCGGAUCGCAGCCUCCAGACAUCUUCUGGCAAGUUCUGGAGAAGUUUUGCAAUUAACCAGUGGAAUUGGCAUGAAUUGAAAGGAUGCGUAAGGAAAACAUCAGUUCCUGCUGUCAUACCGGCUUCAAGCUCCAGCACCAGAAACAACGACAACAGCCUCAUGGAGACUAUUUAACCAGCUCCUACAGCUGUGUACAGCAAACAUGGAUCUACUUUGCCAAGUCUUUUCCCAUGAUGCUGAUGCCUCCGCGCAGACCUUCUUGCUCCAUCGCUGUCUCUUUGCCCCUCCACCAUGCUGACCAGGACUGUUGCAAGAGACCCUCAACUGCUCUCCUUGCCUCCAUCCUCACCUCCUCGAAUUCCUUCUCUACACUUAAGCCACUGAGCCUUUUAAAAUGCAAAUCUGACUAUGUCACUCUUGGGGCCAAAAGCCACCCAUUGUGUCCAUUGGCCCUUUGGAUGAAAUUCAAAGCCAUAGUCCUGACUUCCUGGCCUGCACAACCUUGACUCCCUCCUCUUGGACCCUAUGUGUCAGCCCAGCCACUCUGAACUUCUUUCUAUAACUUCUGUGCUCACUCCCUUUGCCUGGAAACCACCUCCCCCCACUCCCCACUCUUCUACACCACCCGGGGGGAGCCUUGUCUAUGUUGUCCGUGUCCCGUCGUCACCCCCCAUCACGCCCCCACCGCCCCAGCUCAGUGUGAAUGCCCUUUCGUGAUCCCAUUAGAUGAUGUUGGGGGCUUCUGCUCUGUAUCCCAACUCCUCAAGCCCUACCCCCCUAAUAUAAUAAAAUUCAUGUCCG